GACGAACGCUGGCGGCGUGCUUAACACAUGCAAGUCGAACGGAAAGGCCCUGCUUUUGUGGGGUGCUCGAGUGGCGAACGGGUGAGUAACACGUGAGUAACCUGCCCUUGACUUUGGGAUAACUUCAGGAAACUGGGGCUAAUACCGGAUAGGAGCUCCUGCUGCAUGGUGGGGGUUGGAAAGUUUCGGCGGUUGGGGAUGGACUCGCGGCUUAUCAGCUUGUUGGUGGGGUAGUGGCUUACCAAGGCUUUGACGGGUAGCCGGCCUGAGAGGGUGACCGGCCACAUUGGGACUGAGAUACGGCCCGGACUGCUACGGGAGGCAGCAGUGGGGAGUAUUGCACAAUGGGCGGAAGCCUGAUGCAGCAACGCCGCGGGCGGGAUGACGGCCUUCGGGUUGUAAACCGCUUUCGCCUGUGACGAAGCGUGAGUGACGGUAAUGGGUAAAGAAGCACCGGCUAACUACGUG
rnacentral:rRNA from 1 species